UACGUAGGGUGCAAGCGUUGUCCGGAAUUAUUGGGCGUAAAGAGCUCGUAGGCGGUCUGUCGCGUCUGCUGUGAAAACUCAGGGCUUAACCCUGAGCUUGCAGUGGGUACGGGCAGACUAGAGUGCGGUAGGGGGAGACUGGAAUUCCUGGUGUAGCGGUGAAAUGCGCAGAUAUCAGGAGGAACACCCGGGUGGCGAAGGCGGGGUCUCCGUGGGACCG
rnacentral:rRNA from 1 species